rnacentral:tRNA from 1 species
GUGGGCGUAGCUCAGCGGUUAGAGCGGAGGCCUGUGGAGCCUCAGGUCGCGGGUUCAAAUCCCGUCGCCCACC